rnacentral:rRNA from 1 species
UACGUAGGGUGCAAGCGUUUAAUCGGAAUUACUGGGCGUAAAGCGUGCGCAGGCGGUUUUGUAAGUCUGUCGUGAAAUCCCCGGGCUCAACCUGGGAAUUGCGAUGGAGACUGCAAGGCUAGAAUCUGGCAGAGGGGGGUAGAAUUCCACGUGUAGCAGUGAAAUGCGUAGAGAUGUGGAGGAACACCGAUGGGCGAAGGCAGCCCCCUGGGUCAAGAUUGACGCUCAUGCACGAAAGGCGUGGGGAGCAACAGG